ACGAGUGGCGGACGGGUGAGUAAUGUCUGGGAAACUGCCUGAUGGAGGGGGAUAACUACUGGAAACGGUAGCUAAUACCGCAUAACGUCGAAAGACCAAAGAGGGGGACCUUCGGGCCUCUUGCCAUCGGAUGUGCCCAGAUGGGAUUAGCUUGUUGGUGGGGUAAUGGCUCACCAAGGCGACGAUCCCUAGCUGGUCUGAGAGGAUGACCAGCCACACUGGAACUGAGACACGGUCCAAACUCCUACGGGAGGCAGCAUGU
rnacentral:rRNA from 1 species